UACGUAGGGUGCGAGCGUUGUCCGGAAUUAUUGGGCGUAAAGAGCGCGUAGGCGGUCGUGACAAGUCACUUGUGAAAUCUCCGGGCUUAACUCGGAACGGUCAAGUGAUACUGUCGGACUAGAGUACAGAAGGGGCAACUGGAAUUCUCGGUGUAGCGGUGAAAUGCGUAGAUAUCGAGAGGAACACCUGCGGCGAAGGCGGGUUGCUGGGCUGAUACUGACGCUGAGGCGCGAAAGCCAGGGGAGCGAACGGG
rnacentral:rRNA from 1 species